rnacentral:rRNA from 1 species
CCCUUAGAUGUUCUGGGCCGCACGCGUGCUACACUGAGUGGAUCAGCGGGUCAGGUUGCGCGAAAGCGUUUCCUAAUCUUGAAAUCCGCUCGUGAUGGGGAUUGACGGUUGCAAUUUUCUGUCAUGAACGAGGAAUACCUUGUAAGCGCGGGUCAUCAUCCCGCGCUGAAUACGUCCCUGCCCUUUGUACACACCGCCCGUCGCUCCUACCGAUUGAGUGAUCCGGUGAGGCUCUGGGACCUGGACGGAAAGAGCGUUUCGCUUGUUCUGUUUGGGAAACUUGGUCGAACCUUAUCAUUUAGAGGAAGGAGAAGUCGUAACA